rnacentral:tRNA from 1 species
GCCCGGGUGGCGGAACUGGUAGACGCAAGGGACUUAAAAUCCCUCGGUCCUCGCGACUGUACGAGUUCGACUCUCGUCCCGGGCACCA